AGAGUUUGAUCCUGGCUCAGGAUGAACGCUAGCGGGAGGCCUAACACAUGCAAGUCGAACGGGAUCCCCGAGCAAUCGGGGUGAGAGUGGCGCACGGGUGAGUAACGCGUAUGCAACCUACCUUUAACAGAGGGAUAGCCCAUAGAAAUGUGGAUUAAUACCUCAUAGUUCUGAGAAGUCGCAUGAUUUUUCAGAUAAAGCUCCGGCGGUUAAAGAUGGGCAUGCGUGACAUUAGCUAGUUGGUAAGGUAACGGCUUACCAAGGCUACGAUGUCUAGGGGUUCUGAGAGGAUGAUCCCCCACACUGGUACUGAGACACGGACCAGACUCCUACGGGAGGCAGCAGUGAGGAAUAUUGGUCAAUGGGCGCAAGCCUGAACCAGCCAUCCCGCGUGAAGGAUGAAGGUCCUAUGGAUUGUAAACUUCUUUUAUACACCAAGAAAAACACCCACGUGUGGGUGCCCGACGGUAGUGUAUGAAUAAGCAUCGGCUAACUCCGUGCCAGCAGCCGCGGUAAUACGGAGGAUGCAAGCGUUAUCCGGAUUCAUUGGGUUUAAAGGGUGCGUAGGCGGCUCUUUAAGUCAGUGGUGAAAUCCUGCCGCUUAACGGUAGAAUUGCCAUUGAUACUGAAGAGCUUGAGUACAGUUGAGGUAGGCGGAAUGUGUAGUGUAGCGGUGAAAUGCUUAGAUAUUACACAGAACACCGAUUGCGAAGGCAGCUUACUAAACUGUUACUGACGCUGAUGCACGAAAGCGUGGGGAGCGAACAGGAUUAGAUACCCUGGUAGUCC
rnacentral:rRNA from 1 species